rnacentral:rRNA from 1 species
AUUGAACGCUGGCGGCAGGCCUAACACAUGCAAGUCGAACGGCAGCGGGGGAAGCUUGCUUCCCCGCCGGCGAGUGGCGGACGGGUGAGUAAUGCCUGGGGAGCUGCCCAAUCGAGGGGGAUACCAGUUGGAAACGACUGCUAAUACCGCAUACGCCCUGAGGGGGAAAGGUGGGGAUCUUCGGACCUAUCGCGAUUGGAUGCACCCAGGUGGGAUUAGCUAGUUGGUGAGGUAACGGCUCACCAAGGCGACGAUCUCUAGCUGGUCUGAGAGGAUGACCAGCCACACUGGAACUGAGACACGGUCCAGACUCCUACGGGAGGCAGCAGUGGGGAAUAUUGCACAAUGGGCGAAAGCCUGAUCCAGCAAUGCCGCGUGAGUGACGAAGGCCUUAGGGUUGUAAAACUCUUUCAGUAGGGAAGAUAAUGACGGUACCUACAGAAGAAGCACCGGCUAACUCCGUGCCAGCAGCCGCGGUAAAGUCUAGCA